CAAAGAACUGGCGAGAAGGCUCUAGCUUUUGGAUGGACAGCCUUGUGAUUAUGGUAGCGCGCCCUGGUCAGGGAGAUAAGACUACUAUCAGCUUUACUGGUUGCUCUUAUCUAAUACAAAAGAAAUGGAGAACUAUAGGCGUUAACGAUGCCGAAAUAGAAGUGUUUCAGACACAGGAGCGAAAAGUUACACUUCAGAAGUAAAACCGAAGCAGAGGAGGCGAGAACUGAAAGACUAUACGGUAUAGUCACCACUAAUGCAUACCAAUGCUUCUGUCGUUUAUGGCUACGUAAGAUUUAUGACUUCAUGCACUAAGGCUGUAAACAGAGCACUAAAGUGAAAACACUUGCUCCUAUCGCUUUAUUGCGGUGCAACUGCUUGAAAGGGGAAGCCAAACAGCGUAGGAGGGAAGAUAGGGACAAAAAUUCACUCGUUUGCAACUUUUCAAGAGGUGGAUCCAAUUACAUACGUGUUUUAUUGGAAUGCCGGCCCGGAAGCUGAAGACAUUGUAUCAGCCGUUAUACUAUUGCAAUUAUCUUGUUUUGAUUGAUCAUAGCCAAUAGUAAGAAUAAUAAAAUGUACUUGACUGGAGUGAUGAGACAUUUAAUUAAGCGGUAUGUACUUUUACUAAUGAUCUUUUAUUGUAAAUAUUAGGAGUGCUACUUAAUUAUGAAUGCAAACAAUGCACGUUUCUGGAUCUACUUUCGUCAGGUACCAACAUCCAAUGCAUGUAUUAAGUAAGAAUAAGACCUUUGCGAAGAACAAAUAUAUUCUUUCAUGAGGGCAAACUACGUCCAAAUGAGUUCAGAGUUUUUAUCUGCAACAUGAUGGAAAUAAAUGAACAGGGUAUUUUGAAAAUAAGGAGGGUCCUUAAUUUGUCCUAAAAACACAACAAUAAAGACAGGUGUUUCUGUACACUCUAUGGUCUUAUAUGUUUUGUC